AGCUUGCUCUUCAAAUCGAGUGGCGAACGGGUGAGUAACGCGUGAGGAACCUGCCUCAAAGAGGGGGAUAACGUUUUGAAAAGAACGCUAAUACCGCAUAACAUAUCGGAACCGCAUGAUUCUGAUAUCAAAGGAGCAAUCCGCUGAGAGAUGGGCUCGCGUCCGAUUAGUUAGUUGGUGAGGUAACGGCUCACCAAGACUACGAUCGGUAGCCGGACUGAGAGGUUGAUCGGCCACAUUGGGACUGAGACACGGCCCAGACUCC
rnacentral:rRNA from 1 species